rnacentral:tRNA from 1 species
GCCCGGUUAGCUCAGUCGGUAGAGCAUCAGACUUUUAAUCUGAGGGUCAUGGGUUCAAGUACCAUCAUCAGGCG